rnacentral:rRNA from 1 species
GAUUCAUCGUCAGCGAUUCUGGUACGUGUGCGGUUCGCGAUGUCGGAGACUUCGGUCUCACGGCACGCGUCCGCAUGUUUUUUAUUGCCGGAGUCGUCGGCGUGCACUUCUCCCCUAGUAGGACGUCGCGACCCGUUGGGUGUCGGUCUACGGCACGGUAGGGCAGCCUGUCUCGUGUGGCGCUUCACGGCGUUCACUGCGGGGCAGACCUCCGUCCGCCCGACCGACUGCUCGGCGGUACUCGCAUGAUAUCUAGUCGCAGCCAUUCGAACUGCGUCCGGCCCGUCGCAAGCGAGGCAAGUGUUCCCGGCUGUACGGAUCUGAUGCCGUCACCGGGCCUUGCCAGCUGUUGGCUGACGGUGUCCUAGGACAGGCUAACACAAAUUAUGAUAUCGGUCAGCGACGCUWCUGCUUUGGGUACUUUCAGGACCCGUCUUGAAACACGGACCAAGGAGUCUAACAUGUGCGCGAGUCAUUGGGACUUGUAAGCCUAAAGGCGAAAUGAAAGUAAAGGUCGGCCUCGCGCCGACCGAGGGAGGAUGGGCCGCGUCACGAUGCGGUCUCGCACUCCCGGGGCGUCUCGUUCUCAUUGCGAGAAGAGGCGCACCCAGAGCGUACACGUU